CACAUCAUGAAAGCCGGUUGUAUCCGAAGUCCACGCUGCCAACUUGCAAAAGAGGCAGUGGCCGAAGGUAUGGCUGGUGAUUGGGAUG
rnacentral:rRNA from 1 species